CCCCUCCGGGUCCCUCACCCCUCAGAUAGAAUGUAGUGGUCUGUGUGGCCAAAAAAGGAGGCAAAGUAAACUGGCGUGGACUUGAAGUCUUUAAUGAUAUACAAGGCCAUUUCAAAACAAUG
rnacentral:snoRNA from 1 species